UGCGUAGGUGGUUUGAUAAGUUAUCUGUGAAAUUCCCGGGCUUAACCUGGGGCGGUCAGAUAAGACUGUUGAACUAGAGUAUGGGAGAGGGUAGUGGAAUUUCCGGUGUAGCGGUGAAAUGCGUAGAGAUCGGAAGGAACACCAGUGGCGAAGGCGGCUACCUGGCCUAAUACUGACACUGAGGCACGAAAGCGUGGGGAGCAAACCAAG
rnacentral:rRNA from 1 species